rnacentral:misc_RNA from 1 species
GUAACAAGGUUUCCGUAGGUGAACCUGCGGAAGGAUCAUUACCUAGAGUUGUAGGCUUUGCCUGCUAUCUCUUACCCAUGUCUUUUGAGUACCUUACGUUUCCUCGGUGGGUUCGCCCACCGAUUGGACAAACUUAAACCCUUUGCAGUUGAAAUCAGCGUCUGAAAAAACUUAAUAGUUACAACUUUCAACAACGGAUCUCUUGGUUCUGGCAUCGAUGAAGAACGCAGCGAAAUGCGAUAAGUAGUGUGAAUUGCAGAAUUCAGUGAAUCAUCGAAUCUUUGAACGCACAUUGCGCCCCUUGGUAUUCCAUGGGGCAUGCCUGUUCGAGCGUCAUUUGUACCUUCAAGCUCUGCUUGGUGUUGGGUGUUUGUCUCCUGUAGACUCGCCUUAAAACAAUUGGCAGCCGGCGUAUUGAUUUCGGAGCGCAGUACAUCUCGCGCUUUGCACUCAUAACGACGACAUCCAAAAGUACAUUUUUACACUCUUGACCUCGGAUCAGGUAGGGAUACCCGCUGAACUUAAGCAUAUCAAUAA